rnacentral:rRNA from 1 species
UACGACGGGGGCUAGCGUUGCUCGGAAUCACUGGGCGUAAAGCGCACGUAGGCGGCUUUCUAAGUCAGGGGUGAAAUCCUGGAGCUCAACUCCAGAACUGCCUUUGAUACUGGGAAGCUCGAGUCCGGAAGAGGUGAGUGGAACUCCGAGUGUAGAGGUGAAAUUCGUAGAUAUUCGGAAGACCACCAGUGGCGAAGGCGGCUUGCCAGAAUGCGCUCGGCGGUGAGGGAUGAAAGCUGGGGGAGCAAACCGG